rnacentral:rRNA from 1 species
AUGGGAUCCCCUUGGCGGCGGCCGGCUCGAUAUCCGGCGAGGUGUGUGGCCCCUCCUUCUCUGCCUCCUUUCACGAACCUCCACGCCACUGUCGUCGACGCUCUACUCCGACCACCAGCACACACUGUCGGAGCAACAACACCCCCUAUAUGCAAACUUGGCUCGCCGGAGAAGUUCAUAUAUGCAAUAUUCAAAAGGUCAGAUGCAGUAAAAAGUUCAUGUGCGCCUCUCUCCUCCCUGCGUAGCACCAAGUGCAUCCGCUACUCUACCGAGACGUUUGCCAUGGCUAAUUUUGUGUGCUUUUGUAUUCAUCGGUGCUUGUGUAAAUGGCCAGGAAGGAGAAGCUAUGGAAUUCAUUGUUGGCAACUAUAUGUGAAGAUGGAAGAGCACCGUUUUCAGAUUCCUUUUUUGGUGAUGCCCCAUUCCAUGCUUGUGGCAGGUGAUCUCAUUGGUGUCUGA